CGCGCAGGCGGCUGUACAAGUCGGCAGUGGAAGUCCAUUUUUCAAGGAUGGAAGCGCUGUUGAAACUGUACGGCUUGAGUGCAGGAGAGGUUAUCGGAAUUCCCGGUGUAGCGGUGAAAUGCGUAGAGAUCGGGAGGAACACCAGUGGCGAAGGCGGGUAACUGGACUGCAACUGACGCUGAGGCGCGAAAGUGUGGGGAGCAAACA
rnacentral:rRNA from 1 species